GACGAACGCUGGCGGCGUGCUUAACACAUGCAAGUCGAGCGGUAAGGCCCUUUCGGGGGUACACGAGCGGCGAACGGGUGAGUAACACGUGGGUGACCUGCCCUCAGCUCUGGGAUAAGCCUGGGAAACCGGGUCGUAAUACUGGAGUAUGACUCCACUGACGCAUGUUGGUGGGGUAGGAAAGCCUUGUGCGGCUGAGGAUGGGCCCGCGGCCUAUCAGCUUGUUGGUGGGGUGAUGGCCUACCAAGGCGACGA
rnacentral:rRNA from 1 species